GUGGGGAAUUUUGGACAAUGGGCGAAAGCCUGAUCUAGCCAUGCCGCGUGCAGGAUGAAGGCCUUCGGGUUGUAAACUGCUUUUGUACGGAACGAAAAGACUCCUUCUAAUAAAGGGGGUCCAUGACGGUACCGUAAGAAUAAGCACCGGCUAACUACGUGCCAGCAGCCGCGGUAAUACGUAGGGUGCAAGCGUUAAUCGGAAUUACUGGGCGUAAAGCGUGCGCAGGCGGUUAUAUAAGACAGAUGUGAAAUCCCCGGGCUCAACCUGGGAACUGCAUUUGUGACUGUAUAGCUAGAGUACGGUAGAGGGGGAUGGAAUUCCGCGUGUAGCAGUGAAAUGCGUAGAUAUGCGGAGGAACACCGAUGGCGAAGGCAAUCCCCUGGACCUGUACUGACGCUCAUGCACGAAAGCGUGGGGAGCAAACAGGAUUAGAAACCCGGGUAGUCC
rnacentral:rRNA from 1 species